AGACACACAAGGAGUUUCCCCCACAAGUUGUUCGGUAAACUCAAGUUUAAUCGUGUCUUUAUAUCAUGAUUUUCCAUUUGACUACCCCAUUUGAUGUGAAUAGGGUGCAAUGAUUUUUCCAUGCACACAAAUAAAUUACUCAUAUUAUCCGCUCUAUCGGAUUUAAGAAGUUAUCUUCUUAUUUUGUAUUUCACAAAUACGCAUUUGCUACCUUUUUAUCAAACUCA
rnacentral:lncRNA from 1 species